CAUGAACGCUAGCGGCAGGCUUAAUACAUGCAAGUCGAGGGGCAGCACAGGUAGCAAUACUGGGUGGCGACCGGCAAACGGGUGCGGAACACGUACACAACUUACCUUAGAGUGGGGGAUAGCCCAGGGAAACUUGGACUAAUACCCCAUAAAACAGGGGGCCCGCAUGGGCAUAUUGUUAAAGAUUUAUCGCUUUAAGAUGGGUGUGCGUAUGAUUAGGUAGUUGGUAGGGUAAAGGCCUACCAAGCCGACGAUCAUUAACUGGUGUGAGAGCACGACCAGUCACACGGGCACUGAGACACGGGCCCGACUCCUACGGGAGGCAGCAGUAAGGAAUAUUGGUCAAUGGACGGAAGUCUGAACCAGCCAUGCCGCGUGAAGGAUGAAGGUCCUCUGGAUUGUAAACUUCUUUUAUAGGGGGCGAAAAAGGGCCAUUCUUGGUCAACUGACGGUACCCUAUGAAUAAGCACCGGCUAACUCCGUGCCAGCAGCCGCCGCGGUAA
rnacentral:rRNA from 1 species